GCGGGUGUAGCUCAGUUGGCUAGAGCGGCGCGUUGCCAUCGCGCAGGUCGAGGGUUCGAGUCCCUUCACCCGCUCCA
rnacentral:tRNA from 1 species